CCUACGGGGAGCUGCAGUGGGGGAUAUUGCACAAUGGGGGGAACCCUGAUGCAGCGACGCCGCGUGGGUGAAGGAGCGCUUCGGCGCGUAAAGCCCUAUUGGCAGGGAAGAAGAUGACGGUACCUGACCAAGAAGCCACGGCUAACUACGUGCCAGCAGCCGCGGUAAUACGUAGGGGGCAAGCGUUAUCCGGGAUUACUGGGUGUAAAGGGGGCGCAGAUCGGAAUGCAAGCCAGGAGUGAAAGCCCGGGGGCCAAACCCGGGACUGCUCUUGGAACUGCAUGGCUGGAGUGCAGGAGGGGCAGGCGGAAUUCCUGGUGUAGCGGUGAAAUGCGUAGAUAUUAGGAGGAACACCGGUGGCGAAGGCGGCCUGCUGGCCUGUGACUGACGUUGAGGCACGAAGGCGUGGGGAGCAAACAGGAUUAGAUACCCUUGUAGUC
rnacentral:rRNA from 1 species